CUUUAUCAAACCUAUGAAAGUGACCAUGAAGGUCUGCUAAGUGUUAGAAGGGGAAAGAUGAUUUCUAACGCUGCACUCUGCAGGUUAGGCUGCAGUUCAGGCCUUCCGGGUUUCAUACGAAAUGAACCAUUUGAUCCUCAUUCCUGGAUAAUUCCUGGUGAUAAAUCUGGGAGUUUUAAAAUAGAAGAGUUGAUUAUCAAAGGGAAACAAAUUUAUAUUUCUGGAAAAAGAAAAUUAAAACGAAAGCUUAUCGCUGAUGUAGUUGAGGCACUAAUUGGUGCCUUCCUAAUCACUGGUGGUGAGAAGGCUGCAUUGUUGUUCAUGGAUUGGGUUGGUAUUAAAGUGAAUUUUAAUAAAGUACCCUAUGAGAGGAACUUUGACAUUCAACCAGAGAAACUGAUAAAUGUCAGCCAUUUAGAAUCACAACUAAAUUACUCAUUCCACGACAGUACUCUUUUAGUGGAAGCUCUGACCCAUGGUUCUUACAUGUUGCCUGAAGUUCCUAGAUGUUAUCAGAGACUAGAAUUUCUUGGAGAUUCAGUAUUGGAUUA
rnacentral:sRNA from 1 species